UAGGGAAUCUUCGGCAAUGGACGAAAGUCUGACCGAGCAACGCCGCGUGAGUGAAGAAGGUUUUCGGAUCGUAAAACUCUGUUGUUAGAGAAGAACGUCAGUGAGAGUGGAAAGUUCACUGAGUGACGGUAUCUAACCAGAAAGGGACGGCUAACUACGUGCCAGCAGCCGCGGUAAUACGUAGGUCCCGAGCGUUGUCCGGAUUUAUUGGGCGUAAAGCGAGCGCAGGUGGUUUAAUAAGUCUGAUGUAAAAGGCAGUGGAUCAACCAUUGUGUGCAUUGGAAACUGUUAGACUUGAGUGCAGUAGAGGAGAGUGGAAUUCCAUGUGUAGCGGUGAAGUGCGUAGAUAUAUGGAGGAACACCGGUGGCGAAAGCGGCUCUCUGGACUGUAACUGACACUGAGGCUCGAAAGCGUGGGUAGCAAACAGGAUU
rnacentral:rRNA from 1 species